AUACGAAGGGGGCUAGCGUUGUUCGGAAUCACUGGGCGUAAAGCGCGCGUAGGUGGAUCAAUUAGUUGAGGGUGAAAUCCCGGGGCUCAACCUCGGAACUGCCUUCAAUACUGUUGAUCUUGAGACCGAGAGAGGUGAGUGGAAUUCCUAGUGUAGAGGUGAAAUUCGUAGAUAUUUGGAAGAACACCAGUGGCGAAGGCGGCUCACUGGCUCGGUACUGACGCUGAGGUGCGAAAGCGUGGGGAGCAAACAGGAUUAGAAACCCUAGUAGUCC
rnacentral:rRNA from 1 species